UCUUAUCUAAAUAAGUAGUAACACAAUAUGAAACUGAUAAAACUUGGCGGUUAUAAUUUUUUAAAGAAACUUGUUUUGUAAUUGACAAUACUCAAUAAUUUACUCUUAGUAUAAAAACUUAUAUACCGCCGUUACUGAAAUAAAACAAAAUAAAUUUCUUAACUAAAAUCUUACAAAAAUCAGGUCAAGGUGUAAUUUAUUACUAAGAAAAAAUUAGUUACACAUAAAAAAAAUUUAAGGAAUUUUAACUAAAGAUACAAAAGAAAAAGAAUUUAUAAAUAAAUGCAAAUUAAAAAUCUCUAUCGAAAAUUAAAAUUAUAAUGC
rnacentral:rRNA from 1 species